rnacentral:lncRNA from 1 species
GUGAUGAAGGUGAAUGUGGUGACCAGAGGAAGAUUAGAGAGGAUGCAGCUGCCAUUGAGGAUGCCUCUUGAAGACAGAUGGUGACCCAGAACACUGUGGAAGCUAAGUUGAGAGGCCAUGGGUGUUGAUGUGGUACAGCAUUCCCAGCGGGCCCGAGGGAGAUGGAGAAAGAAAGGGUCAUGCCCCUAGGAAGGUGAGUUAGAGAUUUGUUGCUAGAAGUAGAGUAUUGUGGUCAGCGGUUCCCUGGUUAAUUUUUGCUUUGUGCUUAUAGGUGUGGAGCAAUGUGGAGAGCGGGUCGCUUGCAUGCAGGAGGAGCAUGGCAAGGUGAGUGUCAGUCUGAUAUUUGAAGUAGAGGCUAGGGUAGGGCUGUUGUCUUGUUGGCGCUGUCUGUAUUGCCCACCACUGUUUUGGUUUUACAGGUGGGUGGCUGGCCUUGGCGUGGCGACCUGUAGCAUGGUGGUCGGGAUGGGUGAGCAGAGCAGGUGAAGGUGUGGGAGCAAAUGCUUGAUGUGGGUGGGCUGUGGUUCUGCAGGCAUGAUCUGAGUGCUUGCUUUCUGUUUGUUUGCAGGUUUUGCAGGAAGUUGUGGAGAGGAGAAGUUGAGUGCUGACAAGAGCCUGAGCAGGUACUGUGUGGGCCUUUCCCAGGCAUGGUUGAGGAUGUCAGGUGAGCAGACUGGUGUUGGGCAUUGUUGCGCUGGUGAGCGCUGCCUAGCAGAAGAGUCACUUUGUUUUGUUUUUUGCAGGUGCUGCGGGCUCCCUCUGGGCAUAAUUUUGGAGUUGGGAAUUGGCACAGUGCAGGUGAUGAAGGUGAAUGUGGUGACCGGAGGAAGAUCAGAGAGGAUGCGGCUGCCAUUGAGGAUGCCUGUUGAGGAUGGAUGGUGACCCAGAGCA